UCUCCCUAUAGCGCAAUGGGUAGCGUGUUGGACUUUUUAUCCAAAUGCCGUGCGUUCGAAUCCCAACUGGAAGAA